AUGGGGAAUGGUUCUGAUUGGC
rnacentral:miRNA from 1 species